GUCGUGCUUAGCACGGGCCUCAAAAUUUUCUACUAUAUAUACAUAUAAGCCUUAUUUUUAAUCUCCCGCCAACAUCAAAUUUACAGGGUUUUAUUCACGCUACGUACCCGCCCUUUGAACGACGCCAUGUAUAUCAAACUCGAUUCAAACCGCCUCAUUAUCCACUAUUUUGUAUCGAUUGAUUAACGAUGUUUCGGCCAUUCUCAAUUGCCCUAUCCACCGGUUCCCUCCUAUAAAACUCAUCGUCCCCAUGUUAUAAAUCUCAAACCUCUAUUCCCAUGUAUGUUUGGGUGAAAAUCGAGAUAUAACGCGUGAAAAAAAAACAAAUCUCUUAUUCUCUUCUUCUUUAUCUCCCCAACACAUUAUCAAUCGAUGUUUCCAAAACCUCUUAUAAACUCUAAGAAACGAAGAACAAUUUUGAUUCCUACUUGAUCCGACCCUCGUUUUCUACAACAACAGAUUCAAGUGAGACCUAUACCCUUUAGCUUUAGGGUUUUCUUUGAUAAUUUCUCUAUCGAAUGGAAAGAAAAGAAAAGGAAGUUGCUUAUUGUGGCAGGAGCGGUAUCCUUUUUUUUAAUCCCGAGGAAGGGAAAAGAGGGAAGAACUGGGUGGAAAAAACGUGAAUCGCAAUUUAAGAUUUAUUUUUUCUGAUUUUGUAGCACCUCAUCGACUGCCUUGUUGUGGCCAUUGGUAAUUUUCUCUUCUCACUAUCCUCUAUGGAUUGCCCUCCCUACUUUUCAUCUUAAAGUAAAUUCAUAUGUGUUACAUAUUAUAUGUUUUAUGAUGUUCGAAUUUAAGUGGAUAAAGGUUUAAUACAAUUUUCCAGAUAUAUGUUUCCCCCCUUUUGUUACAUACAUGCUACGAACUAUUGAGAGAAAUGUGAACUGAUUAUUCAUUAAGAGUGUUUCUAAGUAUUCAUUUAGGAUACCCUCUGUCUUGAUCAUCUGUUUCUAUGUGUAUAGAAGGUUCCACUUAAAAUGAUUGGUUGCAAGAAAAGAUAGACGUGCCUGUGUGAAUGAGGUGACCUGUUUCCCAUUUUGAUAGUGGUAAUUAUGGAAUUUGAAAGGCUACCAGUCAUUGAAAUAAUAUCGGUGGAUCAAUUUGUUCGAUGAAAAAGCGACUUUCUGAAGUGUAGUAUGGGGAGAUUGAGUUGAUUCUCAAGUUCAUUAAACCUCCUCCUUUGUUAAGGUUAUUACCAAUGACCAAUGUGGUGCUACAUAUCUUCCAAUGGAAAAGUUUAAAGAAGCCCUCGAGGAUUGUCAAAGGAAAGUAGGUAAAGAGAUGUCGAAAUGAUCCUGACGUUUCAUAUAAACAGAAGUUAUGUGAAAAGCUCU